rnacentral:rRNA from 1 species
UACGUAGGGGGCUAGCGUUGUCCGGAAUCAUUGGGCGUAAAGCGCGUGUAGGCGGCCCGGUAAGUCCGCUGUGAAAGUCGGGGGCUCAACCUGGGAAUUGCAUUCGAGACUGCAUUGCUGGAGUACGGAAGAGGAAGGCGGAAUUCCCGGUGUAGCGGUGAAAUGCGUAGAUAUCGGGAGGAACAACAGUGGCGAAGGCGGCCUUCUGGGCCAGUACUGACACUCAAGUGCGAAAGCGUGGGGAGCAAACAGG